rnacentral:rRNA from 1 species
GACGAACGCUGGCGGCGUGCCUAAUACAUGCAAGUAGAACGCUGAAGGAGGAGCUUGCUUCUCUGGAUGAGUUGCGAACGGGUGAGUAACGCGUAGGUAACCUGCCUGGUAGCGGGGGAUAACUAUUGGAAACGAUAGCUAAUACCGCAUAAUAGUAGAUGUUGCGUGACAUUUGCUUAAAAGGUGCAAUUGCAUCACUACCAGAUGGACCUGCGUUGUAUUAGCUAGUUGGUGAGGUAACGGCUCACCAAGGCGACGAUACAUAGCCGACCUGAGAGGGUGAUCGGCCACACUGGGACUGAGACACGGCCCAGACUCCUACGGGAGGCAGCAGUAGGGAAUCUUCGGCAAUGGACGGAAGUCUGACCGAGCAACGCCGCGUGAGUGAAGAAGGUUUUCGGAUCGUAAAGCUCUGUUGUAAGAGAAGAACGAGUGUGAGAGUNGAAAGUUCACACNGNGACGG